rnacentral:rRNA from 1 species
UACGUAGGGGGCAAGCGUUGUCCGGAAUCAUUGGUGCGUAAAGCGCGCGUAGGCGGCCAGAUUAGUCCGGUGUGAAAGUCAGAGGCUCAACCUUUGAAUGCCGCUGGAAACUGUCUGGCUUGAGUCCGGAAGGGGCGAGUGGAAUUCCCGGUGUAGUGGUGGAAUGCGUAGAUAUCGGGAGGAACACCAGUGGCGAAGGCGGUUGCCUGGGGCUUUGCUGACGCUGAGGCGCGAAAGCGUGGGGAGCGAUCCGG